CCUACGGGAGGCUGCAGUGGGGAAUAUUGGGCAAUGGGCGCAAGCCUGACCCAGCAACGCCGCGUGAAGGAAGAAGGCCCUCGGGUUGUAAACUUCUUUUAUCAAGGACGAAACAAAUGACGGUACUUGAUGUAUAAGCCACGGCUAACUACGUGCCAGCAGCCGCGGUAAUACGUAGGUGGCAAGCGUUAUCCGGAUUUACUGGGUGUAAAGGGAGCGUAGGCGGUUUAGCAAGUCAGAAGUGAAAGCCCGGGGCUCAACUCCGGGACUGCUUUUGAAACUGUUGAACUAGAUUGCAGGAGAGGUAAGUGGAAUUCCUAGUGUAGCGGUGAAAUGCGUAGAUAUUAGGAGGAACACCAGUGGCGAAGGCGGCUUACUGGACUGUAAAUGACGCUGAGGCUCGAAAGCGUGGGGAGCAAACAGGAUUAGAUACCCUUGUAGUC
rnacentral:rRNA from 1 species